GGAAUCUGUAUUUGGAGGCUAAUAUCCACUUAUAAGUGAAUAUGUGUCGUUCAUGUCUUUUUGGCACUGCGUUACCUUACUCAGGAUGAUAUUGUCAAAUUCCAUUCAUUUGCCUGCAAGUUUCAUGAUGUCUUUGUUUUUAAUAGAUGCAUAGUAUUCCAUUGUGUAGAUGUCAACAUUUUCUUUAUUCUUUCUCCAGUUGAGAGAUACUGGCCUUCAUGUUGGAGACUUUUCAUGGAGGUCUCUGAUCCAGCUAGCUGUGGAGGUCCAGAGGAAGGGGAGGAAACUCAGGAAAGGAGGGGGAACGGCUUCUGCUGCCCUGCUGCUGGUGCUGAUCUGCUUCUGCUCCUGCCUCUGCCAGUUAGGUUGCCCAGGCCAGCUGAGCCACCUGGAGAGUGACAAGCUGGAAAAGGGUACACAGGAGGUUCUGGUGCAUUUUCUGGAGAGCAAAUCUCUUCCCCAAGCAGCAGUGUUCCAGGUCUUAUGACAGAAGAUCUCAGACGUUGGAGUAAUUCCUGCAUACCUUUAAUCCUUCCGGAUAGGAUUCUUAAAUACACUUUUGGGAGUGGUCAGGGUCUGACAGCAGGUGCUUCUUAUUGGUUUGGACUGAGAGCUUUGGAAUACCUCAUCUAUAUAUUUGGGGGCAUAGUUAUGCAUCCAUGUGAAUUAACUGUCUUGAGGCUAUGUGACCUGUGGUCACAAGUUCACCUGUGGUGGAGGUGUUUGGUGCAUUGUCCUAAGUGACUGAUCCAUCUCAAUCUUCUCUACAGAGGGGAUUGUGGUCUACAAGAGAAGGGCCUGAUCUCCUGGAAGAUUUAAAGUGCUCCCACUGUCCCUUUGGGUUCCUGGGGUUCGACCUUUCUUGAUGAGGAAUCAAGUUACAAAGGACCAGGUAGUAAGUCGUUCAAUCAUUCUGAGGCACUAGUCUUCACUAGCUGGAGUAGAAACACAUUGCCAAUUUAAAUAUGGAUGCCGUAGUCUGAGAUGGUCUGAAGGCAUCUUAUUAAAGUGUUAUUUGCCAAGGUAAGUUUUGAAGAGACAAGUUAAUCCUAAAUCGUGCAAAUCUAUCCUCACUGUCAACUAAUGACAGAUUAUUAAUCACAAAUGAAUUCCUAUACCAAUGUAUCCCUUAAGUACUUUUAUUUUACCUCAAAUUUACAAUCAAGGAAUAACGUGCUUGAACAAUAUUUGAGAAUCUUGGCGAAAGAAGAGAAACUCAUACACAAAUCACUAAAUAUUGCUACUCUGAUUAUUUGAUUUAUCAUGUUCAAGAAACUCAUACUUUUCUUCAUAUUAACUAUCCUAUCUCUUUAAAGAAGCCUAAAAUAAUGCUGACAGAAAAGGAGAAGGGGAAUGAAAUUGCAAAGAAAACUCUCCCUUGUGACUAUGAGUGCUGCCAUUGGAAAGACAAUACAUUACCUACAUUAGAUUUCUGCUUCUGUCUUCUCAUAGAUAAGUGUACAUUGCCAUAUAUAAUUAUGUAUAUUUCUGGGUGAAAUUAUUGUGCUUUAUUGAAAUUCAGAGUUUAUUUAAAACAUGAAUGCAUGUCAUCAUAUUUAUAUCUAAUCACCAUUAUUGUAAUAACCAUACAACUGUAAAAAUUGUUAGAACUCUACCCUUAAAUGAAGAACAAGAAUAUUAAACUGAACAUUCAUGGCAAUGUCUCCUGUACAGCAUUUAUCAAACACAGGUAGGAAAUACUCUUAUUGUGUGUUAGAGAAAGGACCACAAGUUAUCUACUCUUGAAGAAACAAACAAACAGAAUAUUUCAUCCUAACAAUUUUUCUAAAUCAUUUUAGAUUAAUAUAUUUUAUUUUAUAUAUGUAAUUGUCUUAGCUACACAAAUGUUAAUGUACUACAUGUGGGACUCGUGCCCAUUGAAUUCAGGAGAAAUUGUUCAAUCCCCGCAAUGAGAGUUACAAACGUUCAUAAACCAUAAUCUGGUUACUGGGACCCAAUUCCAUACUUUUUGCUGUGAACCACAGAAACAUGGAUCUUUUAUAGGGUAUUUGUUUUAGUCAGAGUUUAACUGCUACAAACAUACACCAUGACCAAGGCAACUCUUAUAAGUACAACAUUUAGUUGGGACUGGCUUACAGGUUUAGAGGUUCUGUCCAUUAUCAUCAAGGUGGGAACAUGGCAGUGUCCAGGCAGGCAUAGUCCAGGAGGAAAGGAGGAAAAGAGAGUGCUGCAUCUUCAUCUGAAGGCUGCUAGCAGAAUACUCACUUCCGGGCAGCUAGGCUUAAAGCACAUGCCCACAGUGACUCACCUACUCCAACAAGGCCACAUCUCCAAAUAGUGCCAUUCACUGGGUCAAGAAAAUGCCAACAAUCAUGCUCAUGGUCAGUCAUCCAGAGUGAAUUAUCACAUAAUUGUGGUAACUUGAUGAAGAAAACAUUUUUUGCACACACAAUUGCAUUUUUACUUUAAUGUGUAUAGACCUAGUUCCUUCUCUUUUAAGAGUUUUUUUUUAUGUUUUCAAGGAUUCUUGAAUUAUCA
ensembl:lncRNA